AUUGAACGCUGGCGGCAGGCCUAACACAUGCAAGUCGAAUGGUAACAGGAAACAGCUUGCUGUUUCGCUGACGAGUGGCGGACGGGUGAGUAAUGUCUGGGAAACUGCCUGAUGGAGGGGGAUAACUACUGGAAACGGUAGCUAAUAACGCAUAACGUCGCAAGACCAAAGAGGGGGACCUUCGGGCCUCUUGCCAUCAGAUGUGCCCAGAUGGGAUUAGCUAGUAGGUGGGGUAACGGCUCACCUAGGCGACGAUCCCUAGCUGGUCUGAGAGGAUGACCAGCCACACUGUAACUGAGACACGGUCCAGACUCCUACGGGAGGCAGCAGUGGGGAAUAUUGCACAAUGGGCGCAAGCCUGAUGCAGCCAUGCCGCGUGUAUGAAGAAGGCCUGCGGGUUGUAAAGUACUUUCAGCGGGGAGGAAGGGAGUAAAGUUAAUACCUUUGCUCAUUGACGUUACCCGCAGAAGAAGCACCGGCUAACUCCGUG
rnacentral:rRNA from 1 species